rnacentral:lncRNA from 1 species
AAUAAUAAAAAUAAAAAAUAAUAAAAAUUAAAAAACAAGGUGCUUGUUUAAAUGAAGCAGUCUCUUUCUAGGACUCCCCCCCGCCCCGGCCCCCAGAAAAGUAAUGGCGACGUCGGUGGGUGAUUUGGGAACCGUGCACAUUGCUUCAAGACUUACAGAAACGUUGAUGCUGUGUGCUGCCCUCAUCAACUCUCCUCUCCUUUCCUGUUAAAGGAUGUUUCUUUGAGACAAAGAAAAAGUAGUGUCUUUCGUUUCCUGUGUGCUCAAAGAAGUCGGCCUGAACUAUACACAGAACACACAGAUGGAAGAUUUGAAUCAGCUGUGAAAAAGAUGAUCAGUCCUAAUCAGAAAGUAAAAAGUGAGUGCUUAGA